CAGUAGCCGCGGUAAUACGAGGGGGGCAAGCGUUGUUCGGAAUUAUUGGGCGUAAAGGGUGCGUAGGCGGCCCCGCAAGUCUCAUGUGAAAUCUUAAGGCUCAACUUGAAGUCUGCAUGGGAAACUGCGGGGCUGGAGUAUGGGAGAGGUGAGUGGAAUUCCUGGUGUAGCGGUGAAAUGCGUAGAUAUCAGGAGGAACACCUGUGGCGAAAGCGGCUCACUGGACCAUAACUGACGCUGAGGCACGAAGGCUAGGGGAGCAAACAGGAUUAGAUACCCCCGUAGUCCCUGUCUCUUAUAC
rnacentral:rRNA from 1 species